rnacentral:rRNA from 1 species
GAUGAACGCUGGCGGUAUGCUUAACACAUGCAAGUCGUACGAAGAUCUUUGAUCUUAGUGGCGGACGGGUGAGUAACACGUGAGAAUCUGCCCUUAGGAAGAGGAUAACAGCUGGAAACGGUUGCUAAUACUCUAUACGCCGAGAGGUAAAAGGAUUUAUCCACCUUAGGAAGAGCUCGCGUCUGAUUAGCUUGUUGGUAAGGUAAUGGCUUACCAAGGCGACGAUCAGUAGCUGGUUUGAGAGGACGAUCAGCCACAUUGGGACUGAGACACGGCCCAAACUCCUACGGGAGGCAGCAGUGGGGAAUAUUGGACAAUGGGCGCAAGCCUGAUCCAGCCAUGCCGCGUGAGUGAUGAAGGCCCUAGGGUUGUAAAGCUCUUUCACCGGAGAAGAUAAUGACGGUAUCCGGAGAAGAAGCCCGGCUAACUUCGUG